rnacentral:rRNA from 1 species
AUUGAACGCUGGCGGCAUGCCUUACACAUGCAAGUCGAACGGAUUCAAGAGGCUUGCUUCUUGAGUUAGUGGCGAACGGGUGAGUAAAGCAUCGGAACGUACCCAGUUGUGGGGGAUAACGUAGCGAAAGUUACGCUAAUACCGCAUACGCACUGAGGUGGAAAGCGGGGGACCGAAAGGCCUCGCGCAAUUGGAGCGGCCGAUGUCGGAUUAGCUAGUUGGUGAGGUAAAGGCUCACCAAGGCGACGAUCCGUAGCUGGUCUGAGAGGACGACCAGCCACACUGGAACUGAGACACGGUCCAGACUCCUACGGGAGGCAGCAGUGGGGAAUUUUGGACAAUGGGCGAAAGCCUGAUCCAGCUAUGCCGCGUGAGUGAAGAAGGCCUUCGGGUUGUAAAGCUCUUUCAGACGGAAAGAAACGGUCUGGGUUAAUACCCUGGGCUAAUGACGGUACCGUAAGAAUAAGCACCGGCUAACUACGUGCCAGCAGCCGCCGUAA